rnacentral:rRNA from 1 species
UACGAAGGGGGGCUAGCGUUGCUCGGAAUUACUGGGCGUAAAGCGCACGUAGGCGGCUUGUUAAGUCGGAGGUGAAAUCCUGGAGCUCAACUCCAGAACUGCCUUCGAUACUGGCGAGCUUGAGUUCGGGAGAGGUGAGUGGAACUGCGAGUGUAGAGGUGAAAUUCGUAGAUAUUCGCAAGAACACCAGUGGCGAAGGCGGCUCACUGGCCCGAUACUGACGCUGAGGCACGAAAGCGUGGGGAGCAAACAGGG